AUAUAGGUUAAGUUAUUAAGGGCGCAUGGUGGAUGCCUUGGCACUAGGAGCCGAUGAAGGACGUGACUAACUGCGAUAAGCUUCGGGGAGUUGUAAGUAAACUGUGAUCCGGAGAUUUCCGAAUGGGGAAACCCAGCAGGAGUAAAGACCUGUUAUCACUGAGUGAAUACAUAGCUCAGUCGAAGGUAGACGUGGGGAACUGAAACAUCUAAGUACCCAUAGGAAGAGAAAGAAAAUUCGAUUCCCUGAGUAGCGGCGAGCGAAAAGGGAACAGCCCAAACCAGAGAGCUUGCUCUUUGGGGUUGUAGGACUGGACAUUUGAGUUACCAAGAAACGAAGUAGUUGAAUGAUUUGGG
rnacentral:rRNA from 2 species